rnacentral:rRNA from 1 species
UACGAAGGGGGCUAGCGUUGCUCGGAAUCACUGGGCGUAAAGCGCACGUAGGCGGACUCUUAAGUCGGGGGUGAAAUCCUGGAGCUCAACUCCAGAACUGCCUUCGAUACUGGGAGUCUCGAGUUCGGGAGAGGUGAGUGGAACUGCGAGUGUAGAGGUGAAAUUCGUAGAUAUUCGCAAGAACACCAGUGGCGAAGGCGGCUCCAGCUGGCC